rnacentral:tRNA from 1 species
CCCUGGUAGCGCAGAUGGUAAAGCGUCUGCCUGCAAUGCAGGAGGCCCAGGUUAGACUCCUGGGUCAGGAA